GACGAACGCUGGCGGCGUGCCUAACACAUGCAAGUCGGACGGGGUUGAGGUCUUCGGACCUUAACUUAGUGGCGAACGGGUGAGUAACGCGUGAGAAACCUGCCUUUCAGUGGGGGACAACAGUUGGAAACGACUGCUAAUACCGCAUAAUGUUAUCGAGCGGCAUCGCUUGAUAACCAAAGCUUUAUGUGCUGAAAGAUGGUCUCGCGUCUGAUUAGCUAGAUGGCGGGGUAACGGCCCACCAUGGCGACGAUCAGUAGCCGGUCUGAGAGGAUGAACGGCCACAUUGGGACUGAGAUACGGCCCAG
rnacentral:rRNA from 1 species